rnacentral:rRNA from 1 species
GACGAACGCUGGCGGCGUGCUUAACACAUGCAAGUCGUACGACAGCAUCUCUUCGGGGGUGUAUGGAGUGGCGAACGGGUGAGUAACACGUAAGUAACCUGCCCUUUUCUUUGGGAUAACUCGCGGAAACGUGGGCUAAUACCGAAUAUUCACAUAUGUCUGCAUGGGUGUGUGUGGAAAGGCUUUUAGCCGGUAAGGGAUGGGCUUGCGGCCUAUCAGUUUGUUGGUGGGGUGAUGGCCUACCAAGACGUGGACGGGUAACCGGCCUGAGAGGGUGUUCGGUCACACUGGGGACUGAGAUACGGCCCAGACUCCUACGGGAGGCAGCAGUGGGGAAUUUGCACUAAUGGACGAAAGUCUAGAUGCAGUGACGCCGCGUGGGGAUGAAUGCCUUCGGGUUGUAAACC